rnacentral:rRNA from 1 species
GAUGAACGCUGGCGGCGUGCCUAAUGCAUGCAAGUCGAGCGAACAGAUGAGGAGCUUGCUCCUCUGACGUUAGCGGCGGACGGGUGAGUAACACGUGGAUAACCUACCUAUAAGACUGGGAUAACUUCGGGAAACCGGAGCUAAUACCGGAUAAUAUAUUGAACCGCAUGGUUCAAUAGUGAAAGACGGUUUUGCUGUCACUUAUAGAUUGAUCCGCGCCGCAUUAGCUAGUUGGUAAGGUAACGGCUUACCAAGGCAACGAUGCGUAGCCGACCUGAGAGGGUGAUCGGCCACACUGGAACUGAGACACGGUCCAGACUCCUACGGGAGGCAGCAGUAGGGAAUCUUCCGCAAUGGGCGAAAGCCUGACGGAGCAACGCCGCGUGAGUGAUGAAGGUCUUCGGAUCGUAAAACUCUGUUAUUAGGGAAGAACAAAUGUGUAAGUAACUAUGCACGUCUUGACGGUACCUAAUCAGAAAGCCACGGCUAACUACGUG